rnacentral:tmRNA from 1 species
GGGGCUGCUUGGUUUCGACAGAUAUACUUUGAUAUAAGUAGCAAGUCGCUUUGUACACGUUACGUACAAAACAGAAAAUAACUGGAAAAAAUUUAAAAGACCGUAUUGCUUCAAUGUUUACUAAAAACGUUGUUGCCUUUGCCUAAUUUAGAAUAAGGAAUACGACUUUCUUUAAUUUCUCUCCUAUGGAAAUUAUUGAAGGUUCGAUUUAAUGGGAUAUAUUGUUAUGAUGCUUAUAAGUAGCAAUGAAUAUUUUAAGCUUACUAAUAAUAGUGUUGUUAGUUACUUAUAUUAUUAGGAAAUUUAUUAACUAAAUAAGCUUGUAGAAACUUAUAUUUGGGAAUAUUUGGACAGGAGUUCGAUUCUCCUCAGCUCCACCA